ensembl:lncRNA
CAGCUACAAAGACUACGCCGGCUGCGCUCGGGGGACCGGAGGGAGGGAGGCUGCGGACGAGGGCGGGGAGGAGUUUGCGAUGGGAGGCGCCUGCAGGGGCUCCCCCAGUUCUGCGCUGUGAGCCGGGGCACAAAGAGCUCUCUGCACUGGCGCCGCAAGACCGCGGACCCGAGCCGGAGGCAUCUCCCUGCCUAACCCGUGUGGUUCCAGACAUUCACGUGGCCGCCACGACCCCACCAGCAUCGAAGGAGUAACCAAGGUGACCCUUCCUCUCCUGUGUGCUCCUGGGGGUUAGGGAGGCCAGUCUCAAGCUGUGUGGUCAGGUCCACCAGGAAACCCACAUGUGUGGGAGAAAACUUGUAGAUUUCAGAGGCAGGCGGGACCUCUAGGGUUCUCUGGGGUCCAGUCCCUCAAUCAAGGCUUCCCUGAUGGGAUUCCUCACCUUGAAGUAGGGGUGGGGUGGGGUCUGUUGUGGAGUAAUGGAACCUGAGACGCUGGGACCUGGGAGCCCACCCCCAGGUCCCUGUGUGGCCUUUGGCCUGACCCUUCUUGAGUCUUGCCCUCUGUCAUCAGUUCUAGAUGAUUUUUGGAAAGUGAACUAUACUGAGGGAUCAUUUACAUGCCAGAAAAGGCACUCAUUUAAAGCAUACAUUUCGAUGUUGAUAAAAGUACACAUCUGUGUGGCCACCACCACAGUCAAGAUAUCAGACGGUUGCAUCACCCUACAAGUCCCCCUGUUAAAUCACCGCCUAGUCUCAGGACACCACUGAACUGCUUCCUGUGUCUACAGAUUUGACAUUUUCCCUAAAGUUUCAUCAUUAGGAAAUCUUUUAUGCUUGACUCUUUUUUUGCUCAGCAUGUUUUUGAGGUUUAAACUUGCCAUUGUCUUGUCAGCAAUUCAGUCCCCUUUUCUGGGUCUAACUAUGCCCUGAGAGGCAUAGCGUAUAACUCAUCCACUUUGAGCACACAGUUCAGUGAGUUUUCGUCAUGUUACCAAAUUCUGCAUCCACCGCUAGAGAUCAGUUUUAAAGCACUUCCGCUGGCCCCGUAAGACCCCUCACCCCGUUUACCGCUAAUCCCCAGCCCAGUCUUACUCCCUGGCAGCCUCUAGUAUGCUUUGUCUGCAGAGGUUUGCCUUUUCCGGACUUUCGUAUAAACAGAAACCAUACAGUCUGUCUUGGGCCUGGCUCCCUUCACUCAGUCAUACUAUUUUUGAAGUCUGUCCCUGUCAUGGUAUGUCGCAAUGGCUUGUUCCUGUUUAUCGCUGAGGAGAUUUUAAUAUUAUAUGUCUGGACUACCAACGACAACUACAAGCUUACUUAUCCAUCCACCAAGACGGGAUUUAUAUUUGAUCUGUGCUUCCUAAGUGGGGUGUAUACACCCACCGCCCCGGGAGGCUUAUUAACCCUGCAGGAUAAAUAUGGCCCAUCAGUGUUACUGAAAGAUUUAUUCAAAGUUUAAAUCAUUAACUGGGGAGGAUAAUUUUUGGAAACACGCCCUGUGCGCCAGACACUGGUUGAGCUUUUGAAAAUAAUUAGCCUUGAGUCACACGUUGGGGACAUGGGGUCUGGAAGCCAUCAUCUCACUCAUGUUUGUUUGACCUCAGAGCCCUUUAUACCCUCCUAAACAACUGUCAGCUUGAUGCAGGAGCUGAAGUUUCCAUUGAAACCUCCGUUGAUUUAUUCAUAUCAGGGAGUCUGGGUUCACAGGGUCGGGGAAAGUAUUGUUAUUGUGUGUAAACAAUGUUCCUCUGAGUGGUGCAGGGUCUGUUCACAGAGUGCAAGCAAGUUUCUGAGACAGAGGAGAAGGAAGGGAAUUUCCGGGUUCUUGGAGAUGUUCAGGACCACACUGGGAAGCAGCCUUGCAGAUAAGUAUUCCAGCUUCCCAGCCCACAGCCUACCAGCCUGCCCUCUCCUGCCCUCUACUGGUCUGUGGAGCAAAGUACAGCAUCCCUGAAUCCCCAAAUCCAGGGAGAAAUCAGCGCUCCAGCUCAUUCGCUUUCCUAUGCCUAAGAUACAAAGAAAAAGCUUGUCCCCAUUUUGUGGGGCCCCAGAGAGUAAUUUUCCUACCCUACUUUUGACAUCAAGGCUAGUAUUUUACAAACUCCACCCUCAGGGACUUCUGGGGAGCUGAGUUGAGUAGCUUCAUCUUGCGCACCUGUAGAUCUGGUGUCAGGAGGAGCCUGGGGACUCCUGGUGAUUUGGGCUGGCCCUUCCCUUAUUGGUUCUUGUCCUCUGUCAUCAUAUUUAUAAAACUUGGCUAGGUCUCCUUUUCUUGCCUGGCAGUCAAGUGGGGACCUUGGCACUGUGACCCCAGGGCGCAUGCUUCUUGGUUUAAGGGUCUGAGCACGUCUCCAGCUCUGGGCCCGGGCCCCCAAGUCCAAGUGCUGACAGCAGGCUCUGAAGAUACGGUGAACGGGCCCAGGCCUGCCUGUGGAUGAAGAUAACUCUGCUGCUGUUUGCUGUUUAGUCCCUAAGUCAUGUCUGACUCUUCGCCAUCCCAUGGACUGUAACUCCUCUGUCCAUGGGAUUUCCCAGGCGAGAACACUGGAGUGGGUUGCCAUUCCCUUUUUCAGGGAAUCCUCCUGACCCAGGGAUCAGACCUGCAUCUCGUCUCCUGCGUUAGCAGGCGGAUUCUUCACCACUGAGCCACCGGGGAAGCCCUAAGAUAGCUUCGCUGUCACUGGAAGAGAAGCCUGGGAGGUGGUCCUGGCUCAGGAUCUGGGGCAUCCUCUGGUCUUCUCCACACUGGAGACACGGGGAUUUUGCUAAAGAGCCCCAGCCCACCAUCUGGCUCCCCACCUUUUCUUUUUCUGGGGCAUCAGAAAAGAGGAUAGGGGAUGAGGGUGGGGGGGUGUUGAGCAGAAAGAUAACUGAGGUUGGGCCUUCUGCUUCCCAUCCUCUGUCUCAAACUGAGGGUGGUUACUGCACUUUAGGUGAAUGUCUGGACUGGGAGGACCCUGGGACCCAGAGGGAGGGGCCGCCGGUCCAGCAUGACACGGGAUGGCAGAGCUGGGAUAAGAUGUCCGGCUUCUCGCCCUGCUCCAUGCACUCACUCAAGCUGAGCUUGCCCUGCUCUCUCUGGGGUCCCAUGCUGCUGUUGGCAGGGAACAGGGAGGUGUUCUGGAAAGCGAAAGGUUUUCUAGGGUGGGGGGAAGGGGGGUGGGGGUGGUGCGCCUGGGCCCAGCCUCCCUGGGUCCCAGGCCAGGGCUGUCUCCUUAGCAGAGAGGUCUGGCCCGGGCUAGGGAGGGGGCCUGGGUGUGGUUUUCUCCUGUGUUGCGGUUGGCUCUUUUGUCUUCCAGGAUGGGCCUGUGGGGGUCUCCGUGGGGUAGGAGCUGGGAUCAGGGCACUGCCAGGUCCACGGCACAGAUUUCAGCACGUGCCUUCAUUCAGCGCAGAUGUGGACUGAGCACCUUCUCCUGGAUAGAAACUGAGGAUUCGGAGGUCAACGUGAGAUGUGGUCCUGCCCUCUCAGAUCUUCGUGCAGCGCUGCCCCGGCUGUGUCUCUAGGACUCCUGGCCCGCCCUCCUUCUGGACUCUGGCAGUGGUGAUACAGGGAGCAGUCUUCGCUGGUUUUCUGGAACCCUGGACAGCUCCCCGAAGAUCUCAUCCUUCCUAACUCCUGGGCCUCCCCUGGAUAAAGGCCCCUCCUGGUCAAGGAAUCCACUGCCUGGCAUGGCCUCCACAGUAGCUCUGAAUGCUUCCUGGGGAAUUUAGUAUCUACCCGUCUCAUCAGAAUUGAGCACCUGCUAGCCCGGCCUGCCAAUGCUCACUCUGGCCUGGAUUCCUCUGAGCAUCGAGCUCGCUGGGAGCUGUACCUCAGGAGCCCGGGAGCUGGCCUCCCAGCUGGAAGAGGCGACUCAAUCCUUUAACAGCCAGUGUGGAGGGAGAGGCCACGGUGGUCCCUGCUGGGGGCUGUGCUUGCGUAGAUAUUGAUAUUGCACACACUGAGCUGGGGGAUUCCCUGGGGGGGACUGGUCCCAUCCCCACAAAAGACCCCAAAGGCCCUCUUGAGCAUCUACCCAGGGAACCCACUGUUUUGCUUGAAGAGACCAGAGAGGAUGCUUUCCAUGUCACUGCCUCCCGGGGAUGCAAACUGUGGGGAUGGAAAUUCUGCUGUUGAUUAAACAUACUUUUAUGUGUAUCCAGCAAUGAAGUGUGAACUUGGCCUUUUGCUUUCACCCAUAAAUGCAGCUUCGUUAGUGGAAAAGACCAUUUUGAUAUUAAAAACUAAUUCAUACGCAGAGGAUCACUGUGGCUUAAAAGGAGUGUGUAAUUUGUGGGGAGGGGGAACCAGUGGCAUUUUCCAGGAACCAGAGUGGACUCUGCUAAUCUUUUCUCAAGACUGUGCCCUUAAAAGCCAAUACAAUAUAGAUUUCAUUUGUAAUUGUGGGAAAAUACACAUUAACCAAGUUUUCAACCCUAACCAUUUUUAGGUCUACGGCAGUGGCAGCAGG